GAGUUUGAUCUUGGCUCAGAUUGAACGCUGGCGGCAGUCCUAACACAUGCAAGUCGGGCGGUAGAGAGAAGCUUGCUUCUCUUGAGAGCGGCGGACGGGUGAGUAAUGCCUAGGAAUCUGCCUGGUAGUGGGGGAUAACGCUCGGAAACGGACGCUAAUACCGCAUACGUCCUACGGGAGAAAGCAGGGGACCUUCGGGCCUUGCGCUAUCAGAUGAGCCUAGGUCGGAUUAGCUAGUUGGUGAGGUAAUGGCUCACCAAGGCGACGAUCCGUAACUGGUCUGAGAGGAUGAUCAGUCACACUGGAACUGAGACACGGUCCAGACUCCUACGGGAGGCAGCAGUGGGGAAUAUUGGACAAUGGGCGAAAGCCUGAUCCAGCCAUGCCGCGUGUGUGAAGAAGGUCUUCGGAUUGUAAAGCACUUUAAGUUGGGAGGAAGGGCAGUAAAUUAAUACUUUGCUGUUUUGACGUUACCGACAGAAUAAGCACCGGCUAACUCUGUGCCAGCAGCCG
rnacentral:rRNA from 1 species